CGUCCGGUAGCUCAGCGGCAGAGCAGUCGGCUCUUAACCGACUGGACGCCGGUUCGAACCCGGCCCGGGCGG
rnacentral:tRNA from 1 species